rnacentral:rRNA from 1 species
UACGUAGGUGGCAAGCGUUGUCCGGAUUUACUGGGCGUAAAGCGCGCGCAGGCGGACUGGUCAGUCCGGGGUGAAAUCUCACGGCUCAACCGUGAGGGGUCCCUGGAUACUGCCAGCCUUGAGGGGCUCAGAGGAGAGUGGAAUUCCGGGUGUAGUGGUGGAAUGCGUAGAUAUCCGGAGGAACACCAGUGGCGAAAGCGGCUCUCUGGGGGCAACCUGACGCUGAGGCGCGAAAGCGUGGGGAGCGAACCGG